GUACUUGUAGCAAAGUGGUCAAAUGUGCUGGUUUUAGGCACCAGUCCCUCGGGUUCGUGGGUUCAAACCCCACCAAGUACACCA
rnacentral:tRNA from 1 species